GGAGGGGUCGCAUAGUGGUCUAGUGCGCUCGCUUGGAAAGCGAGUAUGCCGCAAGGCAUCGCGAGUUCGAAUCUCGCCCUCUCCGCAA
rnacentral:tRNA from 3 species